rnacentral:rRNA from 1 species
UACGUAGGGACCGAGCGUUGUCCGGAAUCAUUGGGCGUAAAGAGCGUGUAGGCGGCCUUUUAAGUCCUGCGUGAAAUCCUGCGGCUCAACCGCAGACGGUCGUGGGAAACUGGAAGGCUAGAGUGCGGGAGAGGAGAGUGGAAUUCCCGGUGUAGCGGUGAAAUGCGCAGAUAUCGGGAAGAACACCCGUGGCGAAGGCGGCUCUCUGGAACGCAACUGACGCUGAGACGCGAAAAGCGUGGGGAGCAAACAGGG